UAGGGUGGGCCCUAAUCCAUUAUAACUAUGUCUUUCUGCCUCGCCGUCCGCCUCUGUGCACCCCUGCGCCGCCGCCCCUCGCCCUCCCUCUCCGCAGACUGGGGCUUCGUGCGCCGGGCAUCGGUCGGGGCCACCGCAGGGCCCCUCCCUGCCUCCCCUGCUCGGGGGCUGGGGCCAGGGCGGCCUGGAAAGGGACCUGAGCAAGGGAUGCACGCACGCGUGAGUGCGCGCGUGUGUGUGUGCUGGAGGGUCUUCACCACCAGAUUCGCGCAGACCCCAGGUGGAGGCUGUGCCGGCAGGGUGGGGCGCGGCGGCGGUGACUUGGGGGAGGGGGCUGCCCUUCACUCUCGACUGCAGCCUUUUGCCGCAAUGGGCGUGUGUGUGUGUGUGUGUGUGUGUGUGUGUGUGUGUGUGUGUGGAGGGGUCCGAUAACGACCCCCGAAACCGAAUCUGAAAUCCGCUGUCCCUGCCGCUGUUCGCCAUCAGCUCUAAGAAAGACGUGGAUCGGGUUCUAGAAAAGAUGACUCCCUGCACGCCCCUCCCUGCACCUCCCGAGCAGUGAUUCCGACAGGGCCUUCACUGCCCCUGAUUUUAGGCGGGGGCCGGCCCCCUCCCCUUUUCCUCCUUCAGAAACCCGUAGGGGACAUUUGGGGGCUGGGAGAAAUCGAGGAGAUGGGGAGGGGUCCACGCGCUGUCACUUUAGUUGCCCUUCCCCCUGCGCACGCCUGGCACAGAGACGCGAGCAGCGCCGUGCCUGAGAACAGUGCGCGGAUCCCACUGUGCACGCUCGCAAAGGCAGGGUUCACCUGGCCUGGCGAUGUGGACGGACUCGGCGGCCGC
rnacentral:lncRNA from 1 species